CCCUCGAAGGGAUCCGUCCCGUGGAAGACGAGUCCGUGGCUCGGGAAAGUGACGCUUGAGCCUGCAGAUUUCUGGGAACGACGCGGGUUCUCGCGAGGGCCACCCAGGUCCUGAAGGAGUUAAAAGACAGCGAAGUCUGCAAGCUGGGAGGUAGAAGCCUAUUUGAAAUCUACCAAAUGUCCAAAGGCCCUCCUACUAGGUCUUCAUUGCUAAAGACACCCAGCUACUCAUUACUCUUCUUCAGGAUUCAACUCCAUUGACAGAGCAUUUUUGUCAAGGUUUGA
rnacentral:lncRNA from 1 species